UUCGUUAAGAAUAAAAUGGGUUAUGCUUAUGAUUUGGGAGUUCAUUCUUCCCUUGAGCCGGUUAAGGAGGUUCAGCAUCUGUUGCUUAGAGAUUCUCUCAGUAUCUACGGUCCUAGGCAGUACUUGUUUUUUUGUGCUCUCGGGCUUUGACUGGUCAUUUUCUUACCAAAAAAAAAGAAAAAGAAAAUAUAUUUAGAUUUUUAAAUUUUUAUAUAUAGAGAAAAAAAUGGAUUAAUUGUAGAAGGAGAAGUAGGUUAUUUAUGUGAUGUGGGUAUAAAAUAUAUUUAAAAUUCAAGUGGCUGUUACAGAUCGAAGUUGACUGUUUCUCUUCUCACAUCCAGAAAUGAUAUUAAUCCAACACGUACAUGGCCCAUACACUUUGCCUUCCCUUCACAGGCUGCGUUGAGUUGGUUCCCUGUAUAAUUUCUCUUCUAGCAGACGCCACUUUCCCUCUCUGCAACCAAACCGCCCUCUACGUCAUUUCCCUUCUCUCUCUCUUCAGGAUUUAGCAGGUUUGCAACAGAUUAACAAUUGUCACCUCAAGGCAGGGUGAACGAUCCAGCAAGGUUGCAGGAUUGAGCCGUAGCGCUGAGACGGGGCAUGGCUGAUGGGUGCAACUCUUUCUUGAGGAGAGUAUUAGCUGGACAGCUGUGCCACUGGCUAAAUAAUGAUUACCAUUUUCAGAAUUGUUGUUACCAGUACAUCAUCUGUUUUGGAAGCUUUACAUUGUUCCAGAUGAGGACCUAAGACGGUUAAUGAGUUGGUUACAUAAAUUAUAAAGGCCGCCUGGGUUCACAUGCUUAUAUCCAUGAAGAAGUAUUUGAUCUAAUCGAGUAUUUUUACCACGCAUGAAAAAGCCAAUGAGAAGGAUUAAUACGAAGCUUCAAUUAGAAAAUAACAAAAAGAUUGUUGUCUUUAUAUUAGUUAGGAUCAGCAUGAAACCGAACUGCACCAUCUGCUCAUAUAACUAGUGGAUAAGGUAAAAAGAAAAAGGGUAAUACAAGGAAGGUUUGAUGACAUAGUCAAUCAACAGAUGAGGCUGAUUGUGCUUCUCCACUUUGACCAGCAAAUAACGUAAUCAACUGACCUCCACAAGCUUGCAGCUGGUGCACCAUUUUAUCCAGAUUUAUUAGCAUUUGCAAUGUCCACAUUCUGUAUUUCAUCAAGAGCAGUAUAUGGAUGAACACAUAUUACGCCUCUUUAUUCAGCAAGUCUCCUGGUUCGUACUGCCACUGCACUGUAUCAACUAAGUAGAGUUUGUAUCCGUGUCUUUUGCAGCUGCCUCUUCCUGAAGCUUCUUUUUCCAGUACUCAUCAAGUGGGGGACCAAAUAUUGCUUUUCCAGAGACAACUCCAAUCCUGCAAUAUCCACAUAUAAUUACUUCCAAAGCCUAGAAAAUAAGUCGUUGCAAAAUCCAGGUGAAGGGCUCCGCAACAUUUAGAACUUCCAGCUGGAAGAUUGCCUAAAAUGUAGUGGUACAAAAGGUUAAAGAAAAACUUAUGCAGAAGAAUAUAAUUAUAGAACAAGAUUGUUUUAUUUUUCCA